GAUGAACGCCGACAGAAUGCUUAACACAUGCAAGUCUUUGGCGAAGCUGUGCUUGCACAGCCUAGCCAAGGCGGACGGGUGAGUAACGCGUAAGGAACUUGCCCUGCAGUCAGGGAUAACAGACGGAAACGACUGAUAAGACCUGGUAAAGUCAGGCGGACUCAUGUCCAGCCUGAUGAAAAGAGAUGCUGCAGGAGAGCCUUGCGUCCUAUUAGCUUGUUGGUGGGGUAACGGCCCACCAAGGCGAUGAUAGGUAGCCGGCCUGAGAGGGUGGACGGCCACAAGGGGACUGAGAUACGGCCCUUACUCCUACGGGAGGCAGCAGUGGGGAAUAUUGGACAAUGGGGGCAACCCUGAUCCAGCAAUUCUGUGUGCACGAUGAAGGUUUUCGGAUUGUAAAGUGCUUUCAGCAGGGAAGAAAAAAAUGACGGUACCUGCAGAAGAAGCGACGGCUAAAUACGUGCCAGCAGCCGCGGUAAUACGUAUGUCGCAAGCGUUAUCCGGAAUUAUUGGGCAUAAAGGGCAUCUAGGCGGCCAGAUAAGUCUGGGGUGAAAACUUGCGGCUCAACCGCAAGCCUGCCCUGGAAACUAUGUGGCUAGAGUACUGGAGAGGUGGACGGAACUGCACGAGUAGAGGUGAAAUUCGUAGAUAUGUGCAGGAAUGCCGAUGAUGAAGAUAGUUCACUGGACGGUAACUGACGCUGAAGUGCGAAAGCUAGGGGAGCAAACAGG
rnacentral:rRNA from 1 species